CUGCCGCCAUCUCCUUUUCCAUCGCAGCACCUCCUAUUCCAUCGCCGCCGUCCUGCCUCACGUGGCUACCUCUUGUUCUCCUGCCCACCAUAGCCUAUCGUUACCCAUGUUCUUGGUCAGGCCACUGAGUUGUUGCAACUAGGAAACUAAGAGGUUGGCGUGGGGAGGAAAUUAGAGAAGGGAGCAGAAGAGGGAGAAAAGGAGGGCGAGGGGGAAAUUUUGUGGACUUCCUCAAAUUCCUAGCAACUUCCUGAUCUGCGCAUCCAUGGGUUUGAUAAAUUCUAGUGGCGAGAGUGUGACGCUAAGGUAAGUGCAAUGAUGAAUUCCUUGUUAUGUGGAUAUGCUUGUUGUUUUCUUGCUACCCACUUGGACUAUAUUUAUUUGGUGGCUUUAUUUCACAUGUAAGAUUCUUCAAGUUCAUGCUUUGAUUUUCUGGUUCAACUAAAUAUUCAAGUUGCAUGCGCUUCCCUACAUAUUAUUCAAGUGCCGGGAGUUUGAAUAAACACUGGUUGUGCAAAUUGGUCCUUACGUUCAGGAUCAUAUGAAUAAGUGAUGGUCCCACUUAUUCAGCUUUACCGGUAAAUGCAAAGGAAGUUUGAGGUGACGUCCGUUUCAUAUGAAAACUACUGUUUCAUUGGUUAUGGAUAUUCCACUGUUCUUAAACUUGGAGUCGUUCAGCUGGUUCUGAGUUGUGCUUGGUGAGUAUUUUUCCUCACUCUUGUGUUAUUUGGUUUUAGGUAUGCGAUGAUCAAGUAUGCAUGGGAAGGGAGUAGCCAAUUCAUAACGAGCAUGCACACACCUUGGCAAUCAUUAUAUUAACUCCCUAGACUGAAUAUUUCUUUUAACAUUGAGAACUAUCGUGUGAAGUGGAUUCAUCGGAAGAGAGAGGCAUUUUCAUUUCUUCGCUUUUGAGCAGUAAGUAUUUCGCAAGGCGGCCCAGGGGUCUUCUUCAUUUAAGGGGCAGUUGAGCAACCAAUGAUACUAUGUAGUACGGGAAUUGUAGUUCACAAGUGAAGCCUCCCAUGAGUGACUAGUUGGGUGGUAUAUGAAAAAUGGGCCAGUUAU